rnacentral:rRNA from 11 species
UUAGAAGCAGCCAUCCUUUAAAGAAAGCGUAAUAGCUCACUGGUCUAGAUAAGCCGGCCUGCGCCGAAGAUGUACCGGGGCUCAAGCCGCCCGCCGAAGCUGAGGAUUCAGUUGGUUCUGCCAACUGUCUGGUAGCGGAGCGUUCCGUAAGCCUGCGAAGGGGUCCUGUGAGGGGCCCUGGAGGUAUCGGAAGUGAGAAUGCUGACAUGAGUAACGAUAAUGCGGGUGAAAAACCCGCACG